AACGGGUGAGUAAUACAUCGGAACGUGCUGGUAGUGGGGGAUAACUACUCGAAAGAGUAGCUAAUACCGCAUGAGAUCUACGGAUGAAAGCAGGGGACCUUCGGGCCUUGUGCUACUAGAGCGGCUGAUGGCAGAUUAGGUAGUUGGUGGGGUAAAGGCUUACCAAGCCUGCGAUCUGUAGCUGGUCUGAGGGGACGACCAGCCACACUGGGACUGAGACACGGCCCAGACUCCUACGGGAGGCAGCAGUGGGGAAUUUUGGACAAUGGGCGAAAGCCUGAUCCAGCAAUGCCGCGUGCAGGAUGAAGGCCCUCGGGUUGUAAACUGCUUUUGUACGGAACGAAAAGCCCGGGGCUAAUAUCCCCGGGUCAUGACGGUACCGUAAGAAUAAAGCACCCGGCUAACUACGUGCCAAGCAGCCCGCGGUAAUACCGUAGGGUGCAAAGGCGUUAACUCGGGAACUUUACCUUGGGGCGUAAAGGCGUUCGACGCAGGGCGGGUNCGGUACAGCAACAGCUGCGCGUUCGAAUUCCCCCCGGGGGUCUCAAACCCUUGGGGACAAACNUUUGCGCCCCCCAUUUCGUUCAGAACCUCUGGGCC
rnacentral:rRNA from 1 species